rnacentral:rRNA from 1 species
GACAGAGGGUGCAAACGUUGUUCGGAAUUACUGGGCGUAAAGCGCGUGUAGGCGGUCGUGCAAGUCGGGUGUGAAAGCCCGGGGCUCAACCCCGGAAGUGCAUUCGAUACUGCAUGGCUAGAGUACCGGAGAGGGUGGUGGAACUCUCGGUGUAGAGGUGAAAUUCGUAGAUAUCGAGAAGAACACCGGUGGCGAAGGCGGCCACCUGGACGGAUACUGACGCUGAGACGCGAAAGCGUGGGGAGCAAACAGG